UCUCUCUCUCUCUCUCUCUCUCCCACCGUCCAACGCCAGAUCUUCUUCAACCUCUCAAAUCUGCGCAGCGCGAGGCCUCCAUUGAAAUGUGAAAGAUCUCUCUCCACGGAACGCUGCUGGUUUUCCCCAUGGACUUGUCCAAUCUGCAGUCCAGAGCUUCUCCUUCUUCUUCUUCUUCAUCAUCAUCAUUAUCUUCGUCUUCCUACAUCCUUCCUCACCGCACUCAGCUCCCCCCUCGCAUGCACUCCUUCCCUCCCCAGCCUCCCCCCAGGCCCCGCCCCAAGCUCCUGCUCCUCGCCCUCGCCGCCGCCCUCUGCGUCGUCCCCUUCCUCUACUACAUCUUCGCCACGGCCCUCGGCCUCCACAACUCCUCCAGGUUCGCCGAUCCGAGCACCGGGUUCCGCGGCCUCGUCAUCGACGCCGCCCCCUCCGGCUCCCGCAUCCGCCUCCUCGAGUUCUUCAACGAGGGGGCGUUCCCGUCCGUCGCGGCCGGCGGCGGCGGCGGCGGAUCGGGGGCCGAGUCCGCGCGGGUCCGGCCGGGGCUGGCGGCGUUCGCGGACGACCCGGAGGGCGCGGGACGGUCGAUCUCGGAGCUGAUCAAGUUUGCCAAGCGGCGGGUGCGGAAGAAGGACAGGGCGAAGACGAAGGUUGUCCUGGCGGUGAGCGGGGGGUUGGAAGGGUUGAGCUCGGGGGUGAGGGGGCGGAUAAUGGAGUCGUGUAGGCGAGUUCUGAGGAAGUCUGGAUUUAUGUUUAGAGAUGAGUGGGCGCGAGUGAUCACAGGGGAAGAUGAAGGGAAUUUUGCUUGGGUUGCCGUAAAUUAUAUUCUUGGAACCUUGGGAAGUGAAUCUGAAGAUACCACCGGGACAGUCGAACUCGGUGGCCGUUCUUUGGAGGUUACGUUUGCUCCUAGAGAAGAAAUGCAAAUGCAAACUUCCCGAGUUCUCAAAUUGGGUGGAACUACCUACAAUCUCUACACGCUAAGCUUGCAACAAUUUGGUCAGGAUGAUGCUUGGCGAUCUUAUAACGGACUUCACAGUCCUAGGGAGCCGAGAACUGCUUCAAGUUCAAACGAUGAACAUGUCAUGACCCCGUGCUUUCCCAGAGGAUAUGGGCUGACAUCAAAAGUGAGAGAUGCAAAGUCUCGGACAUCAUAUCCUGCUGGAAACUAUUCGGCCUGCAAAAAUGAUGCCUUGGCACUUUUGAGAACAAGAAAAGAUAAAUGCUCUCACCCACCCUGCAAAAUUCUCCUUUCUUCUAUCGGGAAUCUACAGGGCAGUGCAAUUCCUCUGGAAAGAUUCUAUUAUACAUCCGAGUUUUUUGGGAUGUUCUCUAGUGGGGGUUUGCUUGACUUGAGGCUAGCUGGUGAACGUUAUUGUGACGAUGACGAUUGGGACAAAUUGAGAAACAAGCAAAACAACAUGGAAGACCUGGAUUUGUCCAGAUAUUGUUUCUCUUCAGCUUAUGUGGUGGCUCUACUGCAUGACGGUCUUGGAAUUCCUUUUGAUGAUAAAAGGGUUCAUUCUGCAAAUAGAACUGGAAGCAUUCCAUUUGACUGGACUCUCGGAGCUUAUGUUGUCCUGACAAUGCAGGACGCUGUUACAUAUGAAUCCGAUAACUUAGGGGAAAUUGUUGGAAAUGAGUCGGUCACAUACUUUUCAUUAUUUGCUGUACUUUUGAUAGUUGUACUUGCUGCAUUUCUAGUUUCGCAAUGGCAAAAACCACAGUUAAAGACGGUAUAUGAUCUGGAGAAGGGGCACUAUAUAGUAACACGCUUGCCUAGGUAAUUAGUUAGUCAUUUUUAUUUCUCAAGUCUGUACAUUCUUAUGGAGGGAUUGAUCAAGAGAAGACAUAAGCAGAGCAGGGCGCAGCAUCGAGCAAUGCAUCGGAAAUUGCUACUGGGGACAAAACAGAGAGCUCGUCCAAAGUCCGAACAAAGCAAAGAAGUAUGAGGAUCUGCACUCAUUUAUUGGUGUCAGCCCGAUUUUGCGAUUAUGAAUGAGUUUUGGUUCAUGUCAGUCCUUGGUAGUUGGCUGCGACUACAACCAAUGGCUAGAGGUCGAUCUAUCAGUGUCAGUAGCUAUGAGCUUUUUAAGUGGUAUUACUUUAUUGGUGGUAAAUCCUUCCAAUCUGACUAUGCUAACAAACAAAGAUUGACCAAAUCAUUUUCUGUUAUUUAUUACCACUCGUUUUUUUUU